rnacentral:rRNA from 1 species
AGCAUAUCAAUAAGCGGAGGAAAAGAAACCAACCGGGAUUGCCCUAGUAACGGCGAGUGAAGCGGCAAGAGCUCAAAUUUGAAAGCUGGCUCCUUCGGGGUCCGCAUUGUAAUUUGCAGAGGAUGCUUCGGGAGCGGUCCCCAUCUAAGUGCCCUGGAACGGGCCGUCAUAGAGGGUGAGAAUCCCGUAUGGGAUGGGGUGCCCGCGCCCGUGUGAAGCUCCUUCGACGAGUCGAGUUGUUUGGGAAUGCAGCUCUAAUUGGGUGGUAAAUUUCAUCUAAAGCUAAAUAUUGGCCGGAGACCGAUAGCGCACAAGUAGAGUGAUCGAAAGAUGAAAAGCACUUUGAAAAGAGAGUUAAACAGCACGUGAAAUUGUUGAAAGGGAAGCGCUUGCGAUCAGACUCGCUCGCGGGGUUCAGCCGGCCUUCGGGCCGGUGUACUUCCCCGCGGGCGGGCCAGCGUCGGUUUGGGCGGCCGGUCAAAGGCCCCUGGAAUGUAACGCCUCUCGGGGCGUCUUAUAGCCAGGGGUGCCAUGCGGCCUGCCCGGACCGAGGAACGCGCUUCGGCUCGGACGCUGGCAUAAUGGUCGUAAGCGACCCGUCUUGAAACACGGACCAAGGAGUCUAACAUCUACGCGAGUGUUCGGGUGUCAAACCCGUGCGCGCAGUGAAAGCGAACGGAGGUGGGAACCCCUCGGGGUGCACCAUCGACCGAUCCUGAUGUCUUCGGAUGGAUUUGAGUAAGAGCGUAGCUGUUGGGACCCGAAAGAUGGUGAACUAUGCCUGAAUAGGGCGAAGCCAGAGGAAACUCUGGUGGAGGCUCGCAGCGGUUCUGACGUGCAAAUCGAUCGUCAAAUUUGGGUAUAGGGGCGAAAGACUAAUCGAACCAUCUAGUAGCUGGUUCCUGCCGA